UUCAGAAAGCAUCAGCAUGCAUACUUCAUAAAGGAAUGACUUGCCCUGGCAGGUAGAAGAUGGGAGACCCCGAAUAAACCUUAGAGUUUUCUUAAAUGCAAUUUUCUGCUAUCCUUGGGAUACUUCUGCAGUCUUUCUCAAGCAUACACAGAUGAGUGAAAAAUCAAGAUGUCCUCUAUGAAGCUCCUCCAAAGAGGGAAGAAGAGGAGUCUCAGGAGACCCAGGAA